GCCAGCAUGGUAUAGUGGUUUGAGUAUUGGAUUACAAUUCUGGAGACCAGGGUUCAAUUCCCAGCUAAGUCA
rnacentral:tRNA from 1 species